CACGUAGGGAGCAAGCGUUGUCCGGAUUUAUUGGGCGUAAAGAGCUCGUAGGUGGUUCGGUAAGUCAGGUGUGAAACCUCCAGGCUCAACCUGGAGACGCCACUUGAUACUGCUGUGACUGGAGUCCGGUAGGGGAGCGUGGAAUUCCUGGUGUAGCGGUGAAAUGCGCAGAUAUCAGGAGGAACACCGAUGGCGAAGGCAGGUCUCUGGGCAUUAACUGACGCUGAGGAGCGAAAGCAUGGGGAGCGAACAGG
rnacentral:rRNA from 1 species